UUCGAACGGUCCAAACGUUAUUCGGAAUCACUGGGCUUAAAGCGUCCGUAGGCGGCUCGGAAAGUAGGGUGUGAAAUCCCACGGCUCAACCGUGGAAUUGCGCUCUAAACUAUCGAGCUAGAGGGAGAUAGAGGUGAGCGGAACUGAUGGUGGAGCGGUGAAAUGCGUUGAUAUCAUCAGGAACACCGGAGGCGAAGGCGGCUCACUGGCUCGGUACUGACGCUGAGGUGCGAAAGCGUGGGGAGCAAACAGG
rnacentral:rRNA from 1 species